GCCCCAUUACAUAUUUUUGAUGUAACAUGGUACUGAAACAUGGUUAAAAUGUGUAUCCGUCCGGGUCCAAUCAGGAAAACAGAAGCCACUGUAGGUGUUCCAACAAAAGGGACUUAAUGCAGGGAAUUGGUUGCACAGGAGACGGAGGAGCUGAGAAGCCAGGAGUCAGCCCAGUGACCUGCAAAGGCAGGAAGUCACUGCCGUCGCUAGGCUGGAGGGACGAAUGGAGGAGGCCGUGGUACCAGAACGAGAGGUGAGGGCUCCCCGAGCCUCAGCAGAGUGUUUCAGCGGAAGCCGCAGACGCAGGAGAGUCAGAGACCCAGAGAAAAGACCUCGGGAGAAAGAGCUGGGGAAACACCCCGGGCGCUCCCUUCCUCCCACCCUCGGAUUCCAACCGGCACCUCCCAUUGGCUGGCCCUGGGUGGAAGCCCGCUGAUUGGACAGCCCGGCAAAUACGGUUUACACACCAGGGCCGGAAGGAGCAGGCGCCCGCGGAGCCCCUGAGUCUGGGGCGCUGCCGGGCGCCCAGUAAACGCUCAAUAAAUGCUUGUUUGCAUUUCUUUCAGGAGCACCUGGGGUUGGUGCUCCCAGUCUCACGAGCGCGUUCUGCGUGAGCCCAGGCCCGCAGUUUUAAGGAUGAGGAUAUUUGGUACUAACUGAAGGAACCCUCACGAAACGGACAAGUGGCUUAACAGUCUUCCUGCAGAGAAGUGGCAGGCGGAAGAUAAUUCUAGUAACAUGAGUGCGGGGGAGCCGCGAGAAGACAGCUGAGUAAUACAGAAGGGCAUGUGCAGAAUUUACAAGCUAGGAACUAUUCAUAUCAUGGGGUCUGGUGCUCAAAACUUAUUUUUAUUGUCUUCCAGAAGUGUCUGGAACGCAUCAUGGGGUCUGGUGCUCAAAACUUAUUUUCGUUGUCACGGGGUAUGAUCAGAAGUGUCCGGAGCACUCUGGUUUGGCGGGCCUUCGAGGAGAGCGGGGGUCACAGAGCCCGGUCCUCGUGGGACUGUGUUAGAGCGGGUUCCCAACUGGUAGCACACCUUUAGGCAAACACAGCACGAUUUUGGCUGGGACACAGUUCAGCUUUUUGAAAAAAAAAGAUUUUUUGUUGUUGUUGUUGAAUAGUUACACGUGUAUCGUAAUGUGUACUCGAGAAAAAUAAAAUAGCACGUAUGUCUCUGGGCAAUCGUGGUGGGAAAAAAGUGUCCCCAGAGACCUGCAUACUCCCCGUGGGUCCAGCAGUCAUCCAUGAAUUCUCGUCAAGUGAUGGCUUCAGCUCCGUGCGAGCAAAUAUUCAGAGGAAUGAAUUUAGUUAGAAUACGAAAGUGGUUUUUAUGACUGCCUCUUGUUUAUGGAGACCUUCUGUGUAAGAGAAGGUGUUAAGACACUCACCACCAACCCCCCCCCCCCCCAAGGUUCAGAGGCUGAGAGGGGAGGGAGGACCAGUGGGAGAAGGAGGAUUUUAGCUGGAUCUGCAACCUUUUAUUUCUGUAAAAAGAGAGAUCUGACGCACAUUUGGCAAAAUGUGAAUACGUGUGUCACCCGAGCCGGUUGGAUACACAAUCUGUUACAUUAUUAACUUUGCCCUUUGAUUGUUUGAAAUAGUUUGCGGUUUUCAAGAUAUUGAGAAAGUGAGUUUGGAACGGGGAUGGUGUAAUAACUGUGGGAGUCUGGUUUGUUAUUUGAAAUAUGUUUCCCCACGCGGGGCAUGCUGGACAUGUUAGAAGGGUCUGAAUCACAUCGUCUGUACGCGUGAGUUCAAAAUAUACCGUACAAGCGUAGCAGGCUCUGUCUGUCACCUCUGUGAUCAGCGCUAAGGCCUCGGGAACACCCUCAAAAAAGAUCACCUCCUCUCAACCAAAACAAGGCCACCUGGAGGCUCUCCCAACCUCCCUUGGAAACCUGUGACUACUCAGGCCCUUUACUGCCGUUAGGAGUAAGGAAAAUAUUUGACAGAGAACCCCAGUAAUGGGGCUUAAAAAAAACCAAAGGUUGACUUCUCAGAGGUAAACAAAGUGAGGAGGGACUCCUGGCUUUCAUCUUGUGGUCUAAGAGGCUGCCGGGGCUCCGGCCAUCUCAUCUGCCUUCCAACCAGCAGAAAGGAGGAAUAAACGACUUCCAUUUACAGCAGCCCGUGCCGCGUGGUUUAGCCACACCUGUCUGCAAGGGAGCCUGGAAAAUGUCACCCAUUCUCGCCAGCUGUGUGCCCAGCUAAAAAUCAGGGUUUCUGUUACUGAGGAAGAGGGGCCAUUAGGUACGGGGGAACAACUCGAGAAGUCUUUGCCACGGGGCUGUGGGGGGUGGAGGAAAGGUCCGGGCCCGAGGCCGUGUCCCUGCUUCCUCCACUCCCGGAGCUCAGGUGAGGACCUGGGGGCCGUAGCCACAGAGCGCCAUCGUGGCGACCCUGCCUUGCCCGCCACACGGUGCUUUGCUAAGUCCUUCGGUUGGGUUUUGCUCGGUGACCCCGGGCGGAUGGAGCUGAUGCAGGGAUUUUCCAAUAGAAACAAAAGAAUUUUUUUUUUUUUACACCUGAGUCACAAUAGUAAGUAGUCAUUAUAUUAAACAGAAAGGAGAAAAUUGAAACGUGGAAAUCUAGAAGCUUUACCCCAAGUUUCACCAUCCAAAGGCAAUCAGUGCCCUUAACCUGUGGUAACCCGUGGGGAUUUUUCCUUCUAGACUUCUCUCUCUCUCUCUAAUUGCUACGUUUCUUUUUAGCCUGGUAAUAAUCAUACGGUGUAUUAUGCGUUUUAUUUGGUUUCUUCGUUUAGCCGUGUCACAUAAGAGCUUUGCUGCCUCCUUGAAACCUCGUCUUUUAUGUAAUUAAAUGUAUUUGUUGAUUCAUCUUUUUAAAACGAUAUGUAUUUUUGAGAGACGGAGAGCGCGCGUGCACGCGUGAGCCGGGGAGGGACAGCGAGAGGGGGACAGGGAAUCGGAAGCCGGCUCAGCGGCGAGCCCAACGAUCCGGGGCCCAGAUUCACAAACCGAGAGAUCGUGGCCCGAGCCCAGGUCGGACGCUCAACUGACUGAGCCACCCAGGCCACCCCCCCCCCUCCCCUGCAGCUCUGUUUGAAAUGACUGCCGUCUGUCCCAGCUGGCGUCUGUCUCUUGGUUUGGUGGGGUCCCGGGGACAGUCCUCUGGCUUUUUCCCCCUUCCUUAGUCUAUCAGACUCUCAUUUAAGCCUUUUGCCUCAGGGAAGGCGUAUGGCCGGGAUAGCCUCCGAGUCACUUUCUGGAGCUUUGGGAGCCCUUACAGCCCCGGUUACCAAAGUGGGGUGUGCCCAGGGGGUGGCCAGGAGGAUGCACUGGGGACUCGGGAGAUUAUCCCGGGCAGAUCUCCAACACUGGCCCGCUGUUGUCCGUUCGCACAACCUAUUCCAAUCCUCUCUCUCUUGCUUUCCCCUAUCAAGCGCUGGAAAGCGAAAAGUUCCCCUUUCCAGACCUCCGGGCAGCAACCGUGGCCGUGGGGCUCACUUCCGGCUCGUGAGAGCGUUACUCCCGAGAGUGAAACGAGGAAGCCGGCCGCCAACGGAGAGAUGGCUUCUAGAGGAGGCCUGCGUUCCUUCGACCACUGCUCUUCCUCCGCCUUUAGGACUGGCUCGUCCGUGUUUGGGGGGAGCCGCCCCUCUCCUGUCUUCGUCCACGCACUUCUUGCGGAUCUGAGCAUUCUCCUGUCCUCUCCCCCUCGAGGAUGAGUUGGAGGCGCUCAAGCCUGGCUCAUCAGAGUGGCUCGUGACCUUGGCCAGGCCAACGAGAAGAGCUUGGCCUAGGAUUUGGGGAGGGCUCUUUUCCUGCGAGGUGGCGACACCAAUGGAAUGAAACUCUGGAGCGGCUGGCGGGCCUCCUUCCGCCAAGGACGAGGACCUUGCUUGAGAGUAAAGUCCGCGCAGAAGAAAGCAGACUAAGAACCAGAGAAGGGCCGAUCGCUAUCGACCUUGAGACCUGGAUCCAGCUGUACCUGAAGCUAGCGAAUAGGUCCUGACGUUUUCAGACGCUGAGAUCAUAAAUCCCCCUUCUGGCUUGAGCCACCUCACACUGAGUUUGUGGUUCUCGUGACCCGGAGCCCUGACCGGUCCUCCCUUCUCCGAUCUUGAACACCCAGCUCGAGACUGCAGAACGAACGCGCCAAAUUCCCGUCAGCCUCCCUUGCUUCCCUUCCUCUCCCCUCUCCCCCUCUUCCCCUGCCAGCCAUGCUAUUGGGCGAUACAUCCUAAUGUAUAUUUAACAGUGGCUCAAAAUCAAAUUAAUUUAGAUUGGUUAAUAAACUGUAACAUCCGUUUCUAAAUCAA